AGUCACAAGCCUUGUGACAAAAUCUAGAAUACUAAAAAUGAGUUAAUUUAAGUUAUAAGACCUAGUCAGUAAUAAGCUUGAGCUAAUAGGCCAAACAGUUUGUAAUUAAUAUUAAGCCUCAGAGUAGUUUUUUGGGACCUGGCAGGUGGAGAGAGACCAGUUACAGGACAGAGGUACUCAGCAAGAGUUAAGGCGUUUACCUCAGGUGUGUAAGCAGGGCAGGCUGACAGGAAAUACUGGCCCCUUCCUCCACUUCCCUUAGAGAAGAAAGUGCUAAGAAAAGCUGAGGGGCUUCUCUGGACCCCAACUGCACAAUGGGACUCAGAGUCACAGAAAAUAGACGAACACAGGAGUUUUCUAGUCCCGGUGUUCUGAAGGGAAAGCUGACCUGUGUGAGCACCGGGGACCUAUGACUGGCUCCUAGGCUGGCAGCCAGGGAAGGCGCCAUGCGGAUAAGGAAAGUGGAGAGUCGACACUAUCCUCUGAAGAGCCUAGAUCAGGGUAUGUUCCCUGAAACAUAAACCAGCUUUGAUGAAUGAGGAAACUUGGAAGUGAUUUCCACCUUGAACUUUUUUAACACUGGCAAAGUGGAAAACUGGGAUCCUUGACUCGAUGGUGUGGCUAUGGAACUGACUGGUGCAGGCGACUCUUCUUCCGUGGAAGCGCUCGGCACGCCUUUGCCACACACCUGGGAGAGCACCAUGUGUUCAAAGACACCAGAUGGGAAAGUUGGAUGGUAUUGGAGGUGUGACGGCCCCUGGUGGCUUCCGAGAUGGGAAAAGGAAGUGCCCUUUUGCAGCAUCCUGGAAUAUCAGCUUCCAGGCUGGCAUCUCAAGCAGUAGGACUGUUGCCUGGGAGACAAGGAACAUGAAAGAACACCAGAACAGGGUGGGGGCUACACGGGGAACCAUCCUUGGAGGCCAGUGCUACGAACCACAGGCUGCACUGGACACGGGGCAAAAGCUCUGCAAUAGAUUGGAAUGUGCAUCCCGGUUCUGAAUCAGCAUUCUGCCACGCUAUACAAGCCCAGGAUGUUCAUCACUUGCCGUCACAGAACAACGGUAUGUGCGCUGAGAGAGCCGCUCGCUAUGCCAAGCAUGGCGACGUAAGCCGUGUCAUUUAAACUUCAUCGCAACAGGACGGGAGAUGCCAGGCAUAGUGUAUUAGGGUCCUGUUCUCCUCAUCUCACCCAACCACAUCUGCAAAGACUCCAUUUCCAUGCAAGACUGAAUUCUGAGGUGCCGCGGGCUAGGAGUUCAGCCCAUGAAUUAACUUAACCCAUCGCAAGUGAGGUCCUGCCUCCAGAAGUCAGGAGCACAUUUGGAUCAUACACAUACGCCUGCCCCAAGGAGUUCUCCUGAAAAUUACAAACUGUCGGCCCAGCCCUUUGAGGAGACCUUCAGAAGCUUCCAGAAAGAAGCCUGGAGAGGGUCCUGUGAGGACCUGGGAUGUGCCUGUACUGUCUUUCAAAGCAGCUGGGUGACUCAGGAAAGUCACACAAGGCAGCUCCCAUUUUCUCAUCCGCACAACAGGAAUGAGAAGGAACAGUUGUCCUGCCUGCCGUCUAAUGGAGUGAGGGCCAUUCUAAGAGGAGCGACUGGCCUUGGGGUGCAGGAAGGCUUUGGGGACACCGGCUCCCAUCAGUUGCCGUGUUUGCCCUUACUGCACAAGCAUCACAGACACCUGGAAGAGCUUAGGGUGGAAGCCUGGAGCCGGGAGCCAUGUUGGUCACCACUGCAGCGGGUCCAGGAAGAGUCCUGGCAAGAGAGGAAGAGAUGAGCUACAGACACAGAGAAUCCCUCCUGCCCACAUCUCCUGAGCUCCCAGUUUUGUCCUCCCCUUCACAGAUGGGCCUGUGCUUCCCAACUCCUCCUUCAGGCUUUGUGCUGAGAGCUCUGGACCCAUUAGGGCCAAAGCACCAUCCUCUUCCGGCAGGGAGCUUGAGGAGAGAAGAGGCGGUGACCAGUGGCUGAGCACAGUGUCCAGGGCGUCAAGAUGCCUGUUCAGGGGACCUCAGCAAACUGCUGCCCGGAGGCCUGCACUGCUGAUAAGAUGGGUGUUCCUGGGACUCAGGGGCCAAAAUGAGUUCCCCAGAGAGGAGCCGACCUCUGGGUUUUAUGAAGAUGCAUCCAGAUGAACUGGCCACCCUAUUCUCUGAGGCUUCUGUAGCCUAUGCCAGUACAAGCAGGGUUGGUGGGUGGGCGGUGGGUGAUACCAGGGGGGGUCAGAGCAUCUCAUUCUGGGAGGAUCUGGGCCUGAGUGUGAACACCUAGGCUGCUUCCAUGUGAAGCUGCUGAGUAGGAACUGGGAGUGCGGAGAGAGCUGGAGGCUGUCUGUGUGGGGGAGAGAGAGCAAGUCAGGAGCAACCCUCACAUCUGUGAACCCAUUCUUCUGCCGUCUGUGGGACUGAUCUGUGUCCGUUAUGGGCUUUGCGAGUGGGAAGUGUUAUCUCCAAGAGUCUGGGGGGUUGUUUCAGUUUGUUGUUGUUCCUGAAACAGGGUCUCCUUCAGCCCAGGCUUUGUUGAACUUGCUAGUAGCUGAGGAUGACCUUGAACUUCUGACGUCACUUCAGGAGCGUGGAGAUUACAGUCUAGGGAACUGGAAGAGCUUAUACACUCAACCAGGGUGGCACAGCCAUGACCAGGUGGGCGGAGAGAGGCUUGACCACCUGUACUGGACUUCGAGAUCUGCGCCACUGACAUAAGUGUGUGACCGCUCUCCUCGGAUCUUCCAAAGUUUCACCGUGCUCUGCCGCUUCAUCCUCAGCCACUGCUGCUGUGACUUACGGGGAUCCCAGCCACACUUCUUAACACCCAGAGUCCAGCUUUGCAAACAAGGCUGCCUGCCCAUCACUAUCGCUGUGCUUCUGGACAAAGCGAGGCCAGAUGCCUUUCUCCUCUCACGUUCCACUGAGGGACACUGAGAAAAUCAAUUUCCCCUCAAUACCCUGCGGAUGCACUCGGCCUAGCUUUCCAGGGACUCAUGAAAUAAUGGCAAUGUUCAUUUCUUGCUUCUGUGCCAAGUGCUGUGAAGCAGAUCCUAGGCACACCUCAAGGAUGCUACUAUCUCCACUGUUUAGAAGAGAAGGCAGGAAACUCUGCCAGGCUCACAGACACCUGGAAACUCUACGCUGAGGCUGGCACCUCAGCAGCUCACUGCCAGAGCCCUGGCAUAGACUACCUGCCUCUUGGGAAAAAAGUAUUAGUAAGAUUCAGGGAGAGUCUAUCGUUUGGAUGCUGGACCACAGUGUGGUGUUGUUAGGAGCCCUGAGCCCCCAGAGCGCACAGUGAGCUCUCUGAGACAGCACAGCCGGAAUGCCGGAAAAGUCAGUUUCACUGGGGACAGUCAUGGAGGAGAGAGCAAGGGCUCAACUUGUCCUGCAGAGAGUCAGGAGAGAAGCCACAGAAAAGACUGAAGGCCUAUCUAACAGCAAGAGUCAGAACCCUUGACUGGCAGGCAAGUCAGGCCCCUGCAGCAGCUGAGCCAGACUGAGCCUCCCAGGUUUGCUAGGCGUCAGGGGUUUCCGGGUCUGUAGAUAGACCUGUGCUCUGACUAGCUGCAGAGCUCAUGGGAUGGGGGACAGCUUUCUGAUUCGCUUCCACAUCUAGAGUCUGCCACUUAUUUUGCCCUCCUUAUUUUGUCUCCGUGCCUGCUGCAGAGAAGCCUGGGCCCGUAGGGCACACACAGCGGGAGAGCAAGCUGUCCCAUGUCAUAGGCAGGGUCACUGUCCUGCAGAAGGCAUGCAGCAAGUAGUUACAAUGGUGGAGGCGUCUGAGUAGCACAACCCCACUCCCCCCACCAGCAACAAGUGCCUCCUUCACCAGCAAGAACAUACUCUCUGGAACUGGAUGGAAAACCCCUCUCCACUCUCCACAAUAACCCGGGUCUCCUCUGAACAGUAGAGAAAGCCAGGCAUUAAAAUAUGUCUUUAGGUCAGCAGUCAGUCUCAGGGGUUUUUCAGUUCAUGAUCUGGAGACGAAACUGGGGAAGACUACCACUGCCUCUCUGGUCACCGAAGAGGGGUGACAUAAAGGACCCUUUAAUCUCACCCAGACAUCUGUGGGCCAGCAUGACAGUAAGUCCCCUCCCUGGCAAACACACAGGCUCCUUAACUGGGAACUUUACUACAAGUGACACAAUGGAGCCUUGUUUAUAGUUGCUAAAAGGUCACAGGAGGUGGAAGAAGUCUUGAAGGCCACAAAUCUUAGACUCCUUCCUGCCCCACUGUCUGGGCUGACAUCAGGAAGCCAUGCGCGUAUUCCACGCCUCUCCACCGGCACCUUGAUCUGCUAUGCGUGCUGCGCUGUCAGAUCUCCGUUCAGGGCCAUGUCUGGUUCUUGCCUAAGAUCUCCACUGGUGUGUCUCUCACAGUGCAGGAUAGUGUACACUCAAUCCGAAAAAGAUAAACCAGGCAGUGGUGGUGCACGCCUUAAAUAUCAGCAUUCGGGAGGCAGAGGCAGGUGGAUCUUUGUGGGUGUGAGGCCAGCCUGGUCUACAGAGCAAGUUCCAGGUUAUACAGAGAAACCCUGUCUCGAGCUACCCCCCACCCAUAAAAGGAAGAUAUGUCACAGGGAGCUGGAAGUGACCCCAAUGUCAUUCUGUCUUAACAUUGGGGUUUGUGGGCUGUGCCUGUUCCUUGUAGGAUACUUAGCAGUCAAGCAUCUUCCCCACCUUCUGAACAACCACAACUAUCCCCACAUAUGACUCCGGGACAAACUGCCUGGCUGGAAACCAGAGCCACUGGUGUGUAUGGCUGAAGUCUAGGGAUAGAGAGUGUUUAGAGCUGGCUAUGCUGGCUCAAAUCAGUAACCUAAUACUCAGGAGGCUGAGGCAGGAGGCUUGCUUUGAGUUCAAGGCCAGCUUGGGGUAGAUCGUGAAUUCUAAGCUAGCCUGGACUAAAGUUUGAGACCCUAUCUAAAAACAAAAUGAAGAUAAAACAGAAAGAAUGACAGGGAGGUGAUUUGAAUAAGAAUGCUUCCACAGGUUCAUGGUUUGAAUGCUUAGUGGAACUAUUGAAGGAAGGAUUAGGAGGUGUGGCCUUGUUGGAGGAGGUGUGUCACUGCCGGUGGGCUUUGAGAAUUCAAUAGUUCAUGCCAGGUGCAGUCAUUUUCUCUCUCUUUCUGCCAAGAACUUUAGGAUCAAAUGUAAGCUCUUAGCCACUGCCCCAGUGUGCUUGCUUGUUUCCUGCUGUGCUCCCAGCUAUGAUGUUAAUGGACUAACCCUCUGAACCUGUAAGUGAGGCCCCGAUUAAAUGCGUUUUUUUAUAA